GGCCGCCUGGCGAAAUGGUAUCGCGUCUGACUACGAACCGUAUAAAUCGAUCAGGAGAUUGCAGGUUCAACCCCUGCGGUGGUCA